GGGGAAUAUUGCGCAAUGGGGGAAACCCUGACGCAGCGACGCCGCGUGAGCGAAGAAGGCUUUAGGGUCGUAAAGCUCUGUUAUAAGGGACGAACGGCAGGUGUGAGAAAAUUGCACCGGCGUGACGGUACCUUAAGAGGAAGCCCCGGCUAACUACGUGCCAGCAGCCGCGGUAAGACGUAGGGGGCGAGCGUUGUCCGGAAUUACUGGGCGUAAAGAGCACGUAGGCGGGAAUCUAAGUCGGAUGUGAAAGACCGGGGCUCAACUCCGGGAUUGCAUCGGAAACUGGAUUUCUUGAGGGCAGGAGAGGAAAGCAGAAUUCCUGGUGUAGCGGUGAAAUGCGUAGAAAUCAGGAGGAAUACCGGUGGCGAAGGCGGCUUUCUGGACUGACCCUGACGUUGAGGUGCGAAAGCGUGGGUAGCAAACA
rnacentral:rRNA from 1 species